rnacentral:rRNA from 1 species
AUGCGGGAGGCGCCGUGCCUUGUCCUGCCCGGCGACACCCCGGAGACGGCCACACUCUUCUCGCUGGCGCACCACCGCUCCGCCCUCGUGCGCGCCCGAGGGCCCGGACACCUCGUCUUAGGAUCCUCAUUCUCCCGCAGGUGGCUCGUCACCGCUGAUGCCUUCGCCCGGCUGCACCUCGUCAACCCGGUCACCGACGAGCAGCGCGCACUCCCGGCCAUCGAGACCAUCCCCUGUGUCGACGCCCAACGUGGGGGCUCCGUCUUCUCGUUCGAGGAGAAGCCGUUCAUCAGGGGGGCCCCGCCGCACCCCCACGGACUCGCAGUGAUGAACCCCGGCUCGAUGCGCCGCUACUUCUACCGCAAGGUCGUCCUCUCCGACUGCGCCGCCAUUGCCAUGCUCAUCACCGAUCUACGGUAUGGCGCCGUGGCCUUUGCCACGGCGGAGGGCCGUGUGUGGAAGCUAGUGCCCUCGCACCAUGGCAUCACCAAGGCGGGGAGCAAGUGUGCCAGGUGGCCGAGGCCGCCCUCGCGCGACAGCAUUGAGGACGCCGUCCACCAUGAGGGCAGGUUCUACUCCAUCACUUACUCCGGCGAGUUAGAGGCGUGGGAGCAGGAUGCCGAUGGUACCGGCAUGUUCACCAGUGUGGUGGUAGCGCCAGGGCAGCCCUGGUGCAACCACAGCAAGUACCUGGUGGCGGCACCAGGCGGUCGGCUGAUGGUCGUGCUCAAGAGGUCUGAUAAGAUCACACAUCGGUUGACAUUCAAGGUGCUGGUCCUUGACGCGGGUGCCAAGCAAUGGAAGGAGGUGGACAGCAUCGACGACGCUGCGCUGUUCGUUGGGGUGAACGGUUCGCUGUGGGUGUCGACGAGGGAGCACCCUGAGCUUAAGGCCGGCUGCGUCUACUACACCGCUGACGAUCUGUCACCCCAACAACCAGCGUGGCGCCGGGGUGUUCAGCCUCAAGGACGGUAG